GGGUUGUGAGGUUAAGCGAAUAAGCGUACACGGUGGAUGCCUAGGCAAUCAGAGGCGAUGAAGGACGUGCUAAUCUGCGAAAAGCGUCGGUAAGGUGAUAUGAACCGUUAUACCCGACGAUAUCCGAAUGGGGAAACCCAGUAUCCAAUGGAUACUAUCAUUAACUGAAUCCAUAGGUUAAUGAGGCGAACCGGGAGAACUGAAACAUCUCAGUACCCCGAGGAAAAGAAAUCAACCGAGAUUCCCCUAGUAGCGGCGAGCGAACGGGGAGCAGCCCAGAGUCUUAAUCAAUA
rnacentral:rRNA from 1 species